rnacentral:rRNA from 1 species
GAUGAACGCUAGCUACAGGCUUAACACAUGCAAGUCGAGGGGAAACGAUAUUGGAAGCUUGCUUCCGAUAGGCGUCGACCGGCGCACGGGUGAGUAACGCGUAUCCAACCUGCCCACCACUUGGGAAUAACCUUGCGAAAGUAAGACUAAUGCCCAAUGAUAUCUCUAGAAGACAUCUGAAGGAGAUUAAAGAUUUAUCGGUGAUGGAUGGGGAUGCGUCUGAUUAGCUUGUUGGCGGGGUAACGGCCCACCAAGGCGACGAUCAGUAGGGGUUCUGAGAGGAAGGUCCCCCACAUUGGAACUGAGACACGGUCCAAACUCCUACGGGAGGCAGCAGUGAGGAAUAUUGGUCAAUGGGCGAGAGCCUGAACCAGCCAAGUAGCGUGCAGGAUGACGGCCCUAUGGGUUGUAAACUGCUUUUAUAAGGGAAUAAAGUUAGUCUCGUGAGACUUUUUGCAUGUACCUUAUGAAUAAGGACCGGCUAAUUCCGUGCCAGCCGCCGCCGUAA